rnacentral:rRNA from 1 species
AUACGUAGGGGGCGAGCGUUGUCCGGAAUGACUGGGCGUAAAGGGCGUGUAGGCGGCCGAUUAAGUCUGGAGUGAAAGUCCCGCUUUCAAGGUGGGAAUUGCUUUGGAGACUGGUUGGCUUGAGUGCGGAAGAGGUAAGUGGAAUUCCCAGUGUAGCGGUGAAAUGCGUAGAGAUUGGGAGGAACACCAGUGGCGAAGGCGACUUACUGGGCCGUAACUGACGCUGAGGCGCGAAAGCGUGGGGAGCGAACAGGAUUAGAUACCCUGGUAGUCCACGCUGUAAACGAUGAAUGCUAGGUGUAGGGGGUAUCGACCCCUCCUGUGCCGGAGUAAACGCAAUAAGCAUUCCGCCUGGGGAGUACGGCCGCAAGGUUGAAACUCAAAGGAAUUGACGGG